UACAGAGGGUGCAAGCGUUAAUCGGAAUUACUGGGCGUAAAGCGUUGCGUAGGUGGUUUGUUAAGUCUGUUGUGAAAGCCCCGGGCUCAACCUGGGAAUGGCAAUGGAUACUGGCAGGCUAGAGUGCGGUAGAGGGUAGUGGAAUUCCCGGUGUAGCGGUGAAAUGCGUAGAGAUCGGGAGGAACACCAGUGGCGAAGGCGGGUCUCUGGGCCGAGUGACUGACGCUGGAGGAGCGAAA
rnacentral:rRNA from 1 species